AGGACGAACGCUGGCGGCGUGCUUAACACAUGCAAGUCGAGCGGAAAGGCCCUUCGGGGUACUCGAGCGGCGAACGGGUGAGUAACACGUGGGCAACCUGCCCCUAGCUCUGGGAUAACUCCGGGAAACCGGGGCUAAUACCGGAUACGACCUUCUCCGGCACCUGAGAAGGUGGAAAGUUUUUCGGCUAGGGAUGGGCCCGCGGCCUAUCAGCUUGUUGGUGAGGUAACGGCCCACCAAGGCGACGACGGGUAG
rnacentral:rRNA from 1 species